UGAGUAACCUGCCCUUAACUCUGGGAUAAGCCUGGGAAACUGGGUCUAAUACCGGAUAUGACUCCUCAUCGCAUGGGUGGGGGUGGAAAGCUUUAUUGUGGUUUUGGAUGGACUCGCGGCCUAUCAGCUUGUUGGUGAGGUAAUGGCUCACCAAGGCGACGACGGGUAGCCGGCCUGAGAGGGUGACCGGCCACACUGGGACUGAGACACGGCCCAGACCUCCGUACGGGAGGCAG
rnacentral:rRNA from 1 species